UCAUUAAAUAACCCAUAAAAGAAGUGAGGAAAAAUAGAAGGCAGAAAACUGGAGUUGAAAAUUUCAAAUUUGCAUCACCAAGCCUUGUUUGGCUUGUUAUUUGUUUGUCAAACAUGAGAUGAGAAAAUGAGAGACGAGAAAAACAAAAUUAAAUAACUUUUUUAAGACUUGGAAUCAUGGAAAGAACUAAAAUGGUGCAACACUUGUGAUGUGCAAGUUAUAAACUUUUCUUUCUCCUUCGUCGAAGACCAUUUUGAUCAUCAACAGAAGAAGUAGUAAGAGAGAGAAUUGGAAGAAGGAGGAAGAAAACAGAGAGAGAUAGAGAGAAGUUAACAGGGAAAUGGGGAGAUUUAAAUGUUACUGUUUUAAUUUGUAAGCAUGGUUGUGGUGGAGAAGCAUUAAAAGCCCUCCCUAUUUAUAGGACCGCGCAAUCGGUCAAGUGUGAUUAUGCCAGCGUGUUCCUACUACCAAAUUACACCAUUAGCCAUACAUCCAACUCUGACACACAACAUUUUUAUAUUAUACUGAAUUUUGUGCCUCAGCAAA